AGAAAGGCAUAUAGGCAUGGGUAUACAGGAAGUAGCUCUCUUUGGCUGAGGAUCUCUAAGUGAUGCCACCCCCUCUUUUGAACAACUUGACCUUGAACUUGAACUGAGCAUACUCAAGGAUGUUUCCAUCUAACAACACACCUAUAUGUCUUAUGGCUUCAGAGAAACAUCAGAUGCUGGAUCUCCCAUCCCAAAGGCUAACAUCUGCUUGUCUGCCUUUUGGUGAACUUCUUUCAAGGUUUAUCUCUAGUGGGAAAAUACAGGGUUAGGGUAAAGGCACUUGCCCUUUACAAUACAGAUGACCUGAGUUCCAUUCUAGGGAACCAUACUGUUGAUGGAGAGACCUUACUCCUGAAAGUUGUUCCCUGAUGUCCACACAUGCACUAUAGACCAUGUGUGGAAUGAUAUACCCUCACAAACACAAUCAAAAUGCAGCUUAAUAAAAUAAAAAAAUCCAGACAGUG